rnacentral:rRNA from 1 species
UACGUAGGCAGCAAGCGUUGUUCGGAGUUACUGGGCGUAAAGGGUGUGUAGGCGGUUUUCUAAGUCUGGUGUGAAAUCUCCCGGCUCAACUGGGAGGGUGCGCCGAAAACUGGAAGGCUAGAGUGCGGGAUGGGAGAGUGGAAUUCCUGGUGUAGCGGUGAAAUGCGUAGAUAUCAGGAGGAAUACCGGUGGUGUAGACGGCUCUCUGGACCGCCACUGACGCUGAGACACGAAAGCGUGGGUAGCAAACAGG